rnacentral:rRNA from 1 species
UACGGAAGGGGCAAGCGUUGUUCGGAAUUAUUGGGCGUAAAGGGCGCGUAGGCGGCCCCAUAUGUCGGCGGUGAAAGCAUACAGCUCAACUGUAUUGAGCCGCGGAAACUGUGGGGCUUGAGGCUGGGAGGGGCUGGUGGAAUUCCCGGUGUAGUGGUGAAAUGCGUAGAGAUCGGGAGGAACACCUGUGGCGAAGGCGGCCGACUGGGCCGACCCUGACGCUGAGGCGCGAAGGCGUGGGGAGCGAACGGG